CCAUGGCAAGGCUGGCCACCAUGGCUGUUCUGCUAGAUGACUCCAGCGUCAGAAAUUGAGAUCCUACAACCGGGGAGACCAAGGUACAACCAACCCUGAAAACUUCUAAGGGACCAGCCUUUGCAGAUGAAAGACAGUCACCAGGGAGCACAACUGUUCAACAUGAAAUCAGUCAUCUACAAGGGUAGAUGUGGCCACUCCUAAACCCCAAGUCUCCCCCUCUUGGCUGUGGCUGGGAGGCUAGAGAGCAAGGAUACGAGGAGAAAUGGAAGUCAGCUCCCAUUGCAGCAGACAUCAUGGCCUCCAGGCUUCGCUGCUCUUGGACCCCAAAGCAGUAGCCAUUGGCUUUAUCCACAGCCUGCAGGACCUGCUGGAUACUCUCCUUGUCC